rnacentral:lncRNA from 1 species
GCGUCCGGACGCGCGACAGCUUCCACCCGCCUCAGGCAGUAUCAGCCGCGCCGCAGUCGGAGGAAAUAGACGCGGGGCCUGAGGCUCCUGGACUUGAGAAAGGAUUCAAGACAGCCGAUGAUGAAAACACCCAUGCUUGCAAGUGAAGGUUCUGCCUGUCACUUCUCGCAGAGGCUGCAGAAAAGGCCCAGGAGGCUGUUGAUGACAUGAACGACCACCAGGAGAAGCUGGAGCAGGCUGAUGCACAGAAGGGCGGAGAAGAGGGACACGUGCCAGACAACAGCUGCAGAGGGCUCCAGGCAGACGGAGUUCCAGAGCGAACGGUCAUACAGAUAAUUCCUAUCCCAAAAAAUAAGGAGACCAGGGGUCAGGCGAUAAGUAAGGAAAGCCAAACAGGCAACCCCAGUAGAAAACUGGGGUCUCCCCUGACCGGGUCAUGGGACUGGGCUCAUGAGGGUGACCGUUACUGCUCCAUUUGCAAUUUUCUGAGUAUCAGAGGAGCAAGAUGCUAGGAUGUGUGACCCAAAGGAGCUUGUAGUUCGUCUGUGUGUCUUUUUGUCUCUCUCUCUCUCUCUGUCUGAAAAGACCAAGCCCAAGCCUCCACCCAUUUACCUACUAUGCAGGUCUUUGAAUGGGUAACCAUAUUUCCAAGCUUGUGUCUGAUUGAAGGAUGAAACAUCAAACAUGCAAAAAGGACCAUCUUUCAGAGCAACUCCAGAAGUGACAAAGCAAAUCAGGGCUCCAAGUAAAGCCAGGCCACCUGACAACAGAGCACCAUUCAGCCUCUGAGCUAAAGAAGAAGCUACCACAGGCCCACCACUGACUCUUCUAAGGAAAAGCUGCAUUUUCAAAAGUUCCAGGUUCCCAACUCUGAUUCUUCUCUAUUUCAAAUCAAGGAUAAAAAAAAGGAAGGGAGGGAAGGAAGGAAAGAAAGAAGCAGGAAAGAAGGGAAGGAGAGAAGUGGGAGGGAGGGAAAGAAGGGAGAGAAACAGCGAGAGAGAAGCUGCAGCCAAGCUCUGAAAUGACUCCACUUCUGUCGCUGUGUUUCUCCAGCUGAGAGCUUUCUUGGCCAUCAGUCUGUGCUCCCACUGCCCUCCCAGAAAAUAACUGGGUUUCCUUCCUUGACAGGUUUCUAGCCUGCUUCUACAUUGGCUUCUUUCUCGUUCCUUCCUUCCUUCCCUUCCUUCCUUCUUUCUCUCUCUCUCUUUCUUUUUGAGACAGAGUCUCACUCUGUCGCCCAGGCUGGAGUGCAGUGGCACGAUCUCAGCUCACUGCAACCUCUGCCUCUGAGUUCAAGCGAU